rnacentral:rRNA from 1 species
UACAGAGGGUGCGAGCGUUAAUCGGAAUUACUGGGCGUAAAGCGUGCGUAGACGGUUAUUUAAGUCGGGUGUGAAAGCCCCGGGCUCAACCUGGGAAUUGCAUUCGAGACUGAAUAGCUAGGGUACGGUAGAGGGAAGUGGAAUUUCCGGUGUAGCGGUGAAAUGCGUAGAUAUCGGGAGGAACACCUGUGGCGAAAGCGGCGCACUGGACCACAUCUGACGCUGAGGCGCGAAAGCUAGGGGAGCAAACAGG